rnacentral:lncRNA from 1 species
UAUGCCAUUGAAUUUUUAAGCUUUUUCUUAAAUCAAAUUUGUAAAUAAACUUAAAUAUAUUGACUUAAAUUUCAAAAUACAAAAAGAACUAAUAACCCCAUUCAAAUCUUUGGCCAUUUGUGCCUUCUCUUAUUAAAAUUUUAUGAAAAAUAAUUCACCAACUCAUUUGAAAUUUUUACCAAGAAUUACGAGGUUUUGAUCCCUCAUUUUUAUGUUGGUACGUAGGCACAAGACCGAAGGUCUUGUCAAACACAAAAAUAU